UACGGCCAUAUUGCGUUGAAAUACCGGUUCUCGUAUGAUCACUGAAGUUAAGCCAUCUCGAGCCUGGUCAGUACCUAGAUGGGUAACUGUUUUGGAAUGUUAGGUACUGUAA